GUAUAUAUCCAAUAUAUGAAAUUUGCACGGAGAGCAGAAGGCAUCAAAUCUGGAAGAAUGAUAUUUAAAAAAGCAAGAGAAGAUACCAGAACCCGCCACCAUGUCUAUGUUACUGCAGCACUCAUGGAAUAUUACUGUAGUAAGGUAAAUACUGAAAUACAAGUGUAAAGAUAAAACAACUUCCUUCAUCUGAGGUUCGUAAAAGAAAGGUGAUUUUAGCUUCUGUCAUUAAGCUUUUAUUGCUCCAUUUUGUAAAGGCAGUCUAAGUGUAUCUGUGUAAAAUUUUAUGGAGCAUCAUCCAAAUCCCCAACUACUUGCUAAUUUAUGCUUCAUUAAUCACUAUAUUUCUAAUUUGUGCUUUAUUAAUCACUAUAUUAAUCACUAUUUCGUGAUUUCUAAUCACUAAACUCCUUUGAAUAGUUUCUAGCUCAGCAAUUUUUACUUAACAUGAUUUUAAUUUGUUUUAAUUCUUACAUAUUUUGUCAUAUGUAGGUAUAAUUUUAAUAUUCUUUCAAGUGUUUUUUAUCUGACAUUUCAUGGAAAUCUGUACUUUACUUUCUUUACUUGUAGGACAAAUCUGUUGCCUUUAAGAUUUUUGAGCUGGGGCUAAAAAAAUAUGGAGACAUUCCAGAGUA
rnacentral:lncRNA from 1 species